UAAAUUUAUUUUUAAAAAAUAAUAGCCAAAAAGAAAAAUAAUAUUAAUUAAUAAUUGCUUCUCUCUUCUUCCUUUUUUUUUUAAAUUUUUUUAUAUUUAUUUAUCAGAAAUAAUAAGUGCAUCUCUGCAUGUCUUUCAUACCCCUGAAGAAAUGCGAUGGCUAGAUAUUGAGGGGACACAAACAUGUGAUAGGGACAUUACCCCAAAUUGGCCAGUUACGCUUUUCUAUUGCAUUAAUGACUAAGUGGCUACAACCUCUGAUGUCUGGGCCUUGUUUUGGAGUGGUAUCUUUUUAGUACUAAUUGUGUCUGCAUGCUGCUUUCUGCAUCCUGUGCUCCUUAGCUACCCCAAAUAGUAUACUGUAUACUGUAUACUGUAUACAUAUGGAUUUCUUAUUUCUUAUUGGAAAUCCUCACUCCUAUCACCCGUUAACAUUUGUUAUGCACCAACAAACUGAAAAUCUUAAUUCUUCAAGGAGCUUCGAUUAAAUAUUAAGGUACCCGCAUAAUACUAGGAAAAAGAAUAACAGAUAGAAAAGGGUUCUAACAAAAAAAGGUCGAACAAGCGACGAACGUGAGGUAUUAAGCAAGGGACUACUCAUUUGACAAGGUUUUUGCAUAGACUUCAACACCCUACAAAAAUUAAAAGACAGUGCACAAACUAUCUACAAACAUAAGGUACUAUGCAGGUGAGCUGUUCUCUCUUCCCACUUUUUAGAUAUACAUUUUGCUGCAUCACUGGAAAAAUUAUAUAUAUUGCUAAAAUAUCCACG
rnacentral:lncRNA from 1 species